rnacentral:rRNA from 1 species
GCCUACGGGGGGCAGCAGUGGGGAAUAUUGCGCAAUGGGCGAAAGCCUGACGCAGCGACGCCGCGUGAGGGACGAAGGUCUUCGGAUCGUAAACCUCUGUCAGCAGGGAAGAACGGUCACUGUGCUAAUCAGCAGUGAAUUGACGGUACCUGCAAAGGAAGCACCGGCUAACUCCGUGCCAGCAGCCGCGGUAAUUCGGAGGGUGCGAGCGUUAAUCGGAAUUACUGGGCGUAAAGCGCUCGUAGGCGGUAUGUCAAGUCAAGGGUGAAAUCCCCGCGCUCAACGUGGGAACUGCCUUUGAAACU